rnacentral:rRNA from 1 species
GAUUGCCUCAGUAACGGCGAGUGAAGCGGCAAAAGCUCAAAUUUGAAAUCUGGCUCUUUUAGGGUCCGAGUUGUAAUUUGUAGAAGAUGUUUCGGGUGUGGCUCCGGUUUAAGUUCUUUGGAAUAUUACAUCAUAGAGGGUGAGAAUCCCGUAUGUGACCGGCAGCCUUCGCCUAUGUGAAACUCUUUCAACGAGUCGAGUUGUUUGGGAAUGCAGCUCAAAAUGGGAGGUAUAUUUCUUCUAAAGCUAAAUAUUGGCCAGAGACCGAUAGCGCACAAGUAGAGUGAUCGAAAGAUGAAAAGCACUUUGGAAAGAGAGUUAAACAGUACGUGAAAUUGUUGAAAGGGAAGCGCUUGCAACCAGACUUGCACGCAGUUGAUCAUCCGGUGUUCUCACCGGGGCACUCUGCUGCGUUCAGGCCAGCAUCGGUUUUGGUGGUUGGAUAAAGGCCUUGGGAAUGUGGCUUCCUUCGGGGAGUGUUAUAGCCCUCGGUGCAAUGCAGCCUACCGGGACCGAGGACCGCGCUUCGGCUAGGAUGCUGGCGUAAUGGUUGUAAGCGACCCGUCUUGAAACACGGACCAAGGAGUCUAACAUCUAUGCGAGUGUUUGGGUGUUAAACCCAUACGCGUAAUGAAAGUGAACGGAGGUGAGAACCCUUAAGGGUGCAUCAUCGACCGGUCCUGAUGUCUUCGGAUGGAUCUGAGUAAGAGCAUAGCUGUUGGGACCCGAAAGAUGGUGAACUAUGCGUGAAUAGGGUGAAGCCAGAGGAAACUCUGGUGGAGGCUCGCAGCGGUUCUGACGUGCAAAUCGAUCGUCAAAUUUGCGCAUAGGGGCGAAAGACUUAUCGAACCAUUGAACACCUACUAGGUGGUUAAGAGGCCUUAGUACGGCCUAGUCCUCACCGAGGGCGACAUUGUCAAAUUGUUCGGGGACCUCCUGAUAACUCUCAGACUACCGCAGCCCGCCCGAAAGGGGGGUGCGCACCGGGCUAACGACCCUGGGGAUGGUAACAACGUCUGGGUAGGGAAGAUCCGCAGCCAAGUCCUACCGCCCUCCGGGGCCACGGAUGCAGUUCACAGACUUGAAGGCAGUGGGCUCCCCCGGGAGCUUAAGAUAAAGUCGAACCCCCCGGAGACGGGGUGGAGGGAGGAGAGUGCGUCGCACUCAGAGUCC